UACGUAGGGCGCAAGCGUUGUCCGGAAUUAUUGGGCGUAAAGAGCUCGUAGGCGGCCUGUUGCGUCCGCUGUGAAAUCCCGGGGCUCAACCCCGGGCCUACAGUGGAUACGGGCUGGCUAGAGGCAGGCAGGGGGAGAACGGAAUUCCUGGUGUAGCGGUGAAAUGCGCAGAUAUCAGGAGGAACACCGGUGGCGAAGGCGGGUCUCUGGGCAGUAACUGACGCUGAGGAGCGAAAGCGUGGGGAGCGAACAGG
rnacentral:rRNA from 1 species